rnacentral:lncRNA from 1 species
AAUUAGCCGGGCGUGAUGGCUCAUGCCUGUAAUCCCAGCUACUCGGGAGGCUGAGGCAGGAGAAUUGCUUGAAACUGGGAGGCAGAGGUUGCGAUGAGUGGAGAUCGCGCCAUUGCACUCCAGCCUGGGCAACAAGAGCGAAACUCUGUCUCCAAAAAAAACAAAAAACAAAAAAGGCCUGAUAGCACUCACCACUAUUGUUAACUUUCUAUCUUCCCAAUCAGAUUGUGGGCUCCAGUAGGGCAGGGUCCACAUCUUGGUCUUGUUCACCACUAAAUCCUUAGUGCCUAGCACGGAGCCCACCAUAGAGAAUAGACUACAUGAAUUGUAGAGUGAGUGAAUAAUCCUGUUGGCCGUAUGCACUGUUAGGAGGGUGUGUUUGAGAUACAGAUGACACCCAGGGUCUCACAUUCUUGCAGGAGGGAAAGAGACGUCAGCCCUGGGUCCCAGAAGAGGCCACUGACCCAGUGGGAGUUCAGGGAAGGCUUCCCAGAGGAGGUGGAGGUGACAGCUGCAGCUAUAAGGGAAGGAAGAACAGAGCGUUAUGCAGCAUGUGAAGGCUUUGGAGACUUGUGAGGGCACGAACCGGGCUCACUAUCCCAUUAGACAAAAGUGGCUGAGGAAGGAUGAAACUGUGUCUAACUCUGCCUGGUGACCGAAAUCUUGUCCAUGGGUGACGCUUAAGAAGUGACCC